AGUUUAAAGGAACACUCGUUUUAUGUAAACACGUCAACAAAAUACAGUCGUUAACUACAUUUAAGUCAAAGUUUAAGUAAAAAAAAAACUGAAGCAUAAAUACCGAAACGGACGCCAUUCGAGGCAGCUUAAUGUAGAGAGAAGUUUGGAAUGCAGCUUUCGUCACCGCGGUGCUGGAGACUAGCAAGAUCGGUUCAUUGAUAUCUGAGCUGCCCUACGGACAGUUACAUGCCCAGCUUUUAACACACCACUACUACAACUACUUACAGUUAUGUCAGGCUGACAGACUUUUCUUCCUGAUAUUUCACCACCUUUAAUAAAGAAAAGAUUUUACCAUAUAAAGAAGAAAGCAUUUCAGGUGCGCGUGCUCGUGUCAGGGCGCUGGCUCACGCGAAUCGCCACGCCCACGUGUACCUGAGUAUAAACACUUCGAUAACAACAUCGCGCUCCUAUACAAACACACAUUGGCAGUAACGUUAAAAGCCUUUCUUUUUUGUAUAAAAAAGUGGAACUAAAAUACUUUGUUUAUUACCCUGAAACCCGGUUUAUACAUGUAGAACUUAAAACGUUUAGAACGAUAGUAACAGACCUUUGUGGUAAACCUGUCAACCAGCUCAAGUUAGUUCAGAAUGCAGCAGCUCGAGCACUCACAAAAACAGAAAGUCUUAUCAUAUUAGUCCUAUUUUAUUAACCCUGCAUUGACUGCCAACAUACCUCUGCUAACAUUAAGUGGUACAUGAACUGGCUCCACAGUAUCAAAGUCAACUUAUUACGCACCACAACCCAAGUCUACUUUUUGCAAGGUGCAGGGCCUAUGUACACUGAUUGGGUAUAACAUUAUGACCACCUUCGUAAUAUUGUGUUGGUCCCCCUUUUUCUGCCAAAACAGCCCUGACCUGUCGAGGCACUGGACCUCUGAAGGUGUGCUGUGGUAUCUGGCACCAAGAUCCUUUAACUCCUGUAGGUUGCGAUGUGGGGCCACCGUGGAUUUAACCUGUUUGUCCAGCACAUUGCCCAAAGCAUCCCACUGACUUCACCGGCUUGCUUUCUUCUCAUAGUGCAUCCUGGUGCCAUGUGUUUCCCAGGUAAGCGUCCCCGGCACCCGCGCACCCGGCCAUCCACGUAAUGUAAAAGAAAACGUGAUUCAUCAGACCAGGCCACCUUCCAUUGCUCCGUGGUCCAGUUCCGAUGCUCACGUACCCAUUGUUGGCGCUUUCAGCGGUGGACAGGCGUCAGCAUGGGCACCCUGACUGGUCUGCGGCUAUGCAGCCCCAUACGCAACAAACAGCGAUGCACUGUGUAUUUUGACACCUUUCUAUCAGAACCAGCAUUAACUUCUUCAGCAAUUUGAGCUACAGUAGCUGGUCUGUUGGAUCGGACCACACGGGCCAGCCUUCACUCCCCACGUGCAUCAAUGAGCCUUGGCCGCCCAUGACCCUGUCGCCGGUUUACCACUGUUUCUUUCUUGGACCACUUUUGAUAAAUACUGAUCACUGCAAACCAGGAACACCCCAAAAGAGCUGCAGUUUUGGAGAUGCUCUGACCGAGUCAUUUUUCUUGCUUCUAACACAUCAACUUUGAGGAUAAAAUGUUCACUUGCAGCCUAAUAUAUUAUAAUAUAUUCUCUGUUGUUUUACCCCGAGGGCAUUCUGAUGGAAACCUGUUCACCCGCCGAGGUUAAGGAUUGAAGUCGAGACUGCCGGGACAACGAUGCUUCUCCUGUCAGAUGUGACGGGUCUGGAGUAAUUGCAACGACAAGAAAUCACUACAGACUUUAUUGAAGACUAGAGCGGAUAACAACUCUAUUAUUAUUUAAUUGUUUAUUUAUCUAUUUAUUACCAGUUAUGACUUUUAGAUCAUUUAAUUCUGUGUUUGUAUGAUUUGUGUAAAUCGUGUAUUUAUUUAAAGUAUCCUCCAGGCCACCCAUGAAGGAUGGGCCCUGCUGAGUCUGGUUCCUCUCAAGGUUUCUUCCUGUAAUUUUCAGGGAGUUUUUCCUUGCCACAGUCGCCCUCGGCUUGCUCAACAGGGGUUUUUGUAUCUGUUGGUCCUGGAUUUUGUAAAGUUGCUUUGAGACAAUGUCUAUUGUAAAAAGCGCUAUAUAAAUAAAGUUGACUUGACUUAAUAUA